rnacentral:rRNA from 1 species
ACGAACGCUGGCGGCGUGCCUAAUACAUGCAAGUAGAACGCACAGUUUAUACCGUAGCUUGCUACACCAUAGACUGUGAGUUGCGAACGGGUGAGUAACGCGUAGGUAACCUGCCUGGUAGCGGGGGAUAACUAUUGGAAACGAUAGCUAAUACCGCAUAAUAUUAAUUAUUGCAUGGUAAUUAAUUGAAAGGUGCAAUUGCACCACUACCAGAUGGACCUGCGUUGUAUUAGCUAGUAGGUGAGGUAACGGCUCACCUAGGCGACGAUACAUAGCCGACCUGAGAGGGUGAUCGGCCACACUGGGACUGAGACACGGCCCAGACUCCUACGGGAGGCAGCAGUAGGGAAUCUUCGGCAAUGGACGAAAGUCUGACCGAGCAACGCCGCGUGAGUGAAGAAGGUUUUCGGAUCGUAAAGCUCUGUUGUAAGAGAAGAACGGGUGUGAGAGUGGAAAGUUCACACUGUGACGGUAUCUUACCAGAAGGGGACGGCUAACUACGUG